UACGUAGGUGGCAAGCGUUGUCCGGAUUUACUGGGCGUAAAGAGCGCGCAGGCGGUCGUUCAAGUCGCGUGUGAAAGCCCCCCGGCUCAACUGGGGAGGGUCACGCGAUACUGAUCGACUCGAAGGCAGGAGAGGGUAGUGGAAUUCCCGGUGUAGUGGUGAAAUGCGUAGAUAUCGGGAGGAACACCGGUGGCGAAGGCGGCCUUCUGGACCGGAUACUGACGGCUGAUACGCGAAAGGCGUGGGGAGCAAACAGG
rnacentral:rRNA from 1 species